rnacentral:rRNA from 1 species
GAUGAACGCUGGCGGCGUGCCUAACACAUGCAAGUCGAGCGAACAGACGAGGAUCUUGUUCCUUUGACGUUAGCGGCGGACGGGUGUGUAACACGUGGAUAAUCCACCUAUAAGACUGGUAUAACUACGGGAAACCGGAGCAAAUACCGGAGAAUAUAUUGAAGCGCAUGGUUCAAUGGUGAAAGACGGCGUUGCUGUCACUUAUAGAUGGAUCCGGGCCGCAUUAGCUGGUUGGUAAGGUAACGGCUUACCAAGGCAACGAUGCGUAGCCGACCGCAGAGGCGGGUCGCCGACCUUGGAACGGGGACGCGGUCCAGGCUACUACGGGAGGGAGCAGUAGGGAAUCUGCCGCAGAGGGCGAGAGCCUGACGGAGCAACGCCGCGUGAGUGAUAAAGAUCUUCGGAGCGUGAAACUCUGUUAUUGGGGAAGAACAGAUGUGUAAGUAGCUAUGCACGUCGUGACGGUACCUGGUCAGAAAGCCACGGCUAACUACGUG